rnacentral:lncRNA from 1 species
GAUUAAUCUUUACCAAUAAACGCGAGUCUCACUAGCUGGUCAGGGCCACAGUCACAGCUGUUUACAGGACUCUGCUGGAGUCUGUAAGUGGCUUGGACACUCAGCUGGACUGGCAAAGCAGAAUAUCUGUGUGUCAGUGUACUUCAUUCAUCCGUCGCUGGGUCAGGGUCUGGGGGUCAGACCCCUGCAGCUGGUGCCCCUGUGUGAGGAACGCUACCACACAUCCUGGCCUGGGCUGGGGAGUCCAUCCAAUGGAAUAUAUUUAAGGUAUGAAAAGGGCCUCGUUCAGUUCCUGGAGCAAGGGAGCCACCCGAUAAUGCCUUCCCUUGCACCCCAGAUGAAGCCAAGCACAGUGAGAGAAGCAUCUCCAGAUCUCUAUCUGGUGGAGCUGCUGGACUUCCCUCGGGGCAGGAACAUGAAAUCUGAGGGAAGAUACUUUUGGAACCUUGAAUCUGAAAGGAACUCAAUGUUUUGCAUCCUUGGGAUUGCCAGAGAUUGGCAGAGGAGAGUCAAACAAGGACACAGAGAUGGAGCAGCCUUGAUGUAAGUGGGAAAAGAACACACUGAAUGUGCUGACCGAAAAGCCAAGAGAAGAAGCAUUCAUGGAGGAUGGAGGGAGUGGACAACUGCGUCAAAUGCUGCUAAAAGACCAAAUGACAUAAGAACAAGGAAGAGAACCUACGGAUUUCUAGGGAGCCAUGAGAUGAAAACAUGAUUGGAUUGGGUUGAGAAUUAAAGGAUGGCUGAGAAAUUGGGGACAAUGGCACUUUUUAUGUCUUACUAGGACAGGAUAAAUACAAAUAGGGCAGUAACUAGAGGGCCACCAAAGGUGUUUUUCUUUUUCUUUUUUUGAGAUAACAGACGAUGAAACAUGUCUAUAUACUAAUGUGAAUGAUGCACAAAAGAGGGAGAAAUUGAUGGAGCAGAGAGAAGGGAAGUGAUGGUGGGAGUAAAGUUCUUGAGAAGGGGGAGCUAGUGGUGAGAUAUCUGGCAUUCGUAGGAUCUCGGGGACUUUAUUCACUAUAACAAGAUAACCAGUAAGGAGGGUGGAGACAGAUGCAGAUACGUGGGUGGAUUUGGUGAUGGGAGAAGUAGAUUUGUAUUUAUUGGUUUCCAUCCUGAACAAAGAUAAAGAAUUUCCCAGAAAUGGAAAAGUCUUAUAUAUUUUUUACCUUGCCCCAGAUUUCAAAGUUUUGACCUUGGGAUACAAGCACAGAAUUCUGCGAAAGGAGAGUGGAAUUUGUCUCUGAUCGGAGAAUACUCUAAUUGUUCAGAUACUGCACUGCUCCGAUGAACAACUUCUUUGGAAUAGGCAAUCUGGACACAAAGGGACACUGGGGUACAUAUGUACAGAAAAAAGACCAUGUGAAGACACAGUGAGAAAGUGGUCAUUUGCAAGCAAAGAAGAGGUCUCAGAAGAAUGCAAACCUGCUGACACCUUGAUCUCAGAAUUCUAGCCUCCAGAAUGAUGAGGACAUUGAGGCGCAGAGAAAUUAAGUGACCUUCCUCAGAGUCACAUAUGACAGCUAAAUGGUUACAAAGUCCAUAGUAACUAUAGGAUCCCUGUGAUGUUGUGAAAUAUCUAUUUGGUCUUCAUCCCAGUCUCCUAGCGCACAACUCCUAAAAUCCCUGGACUCUUCAAAGUGCUGGAGCUACUCCAGGGGUUUACAGCUUGCCAGUUUUGCAAUGAAGUGCUUAGAUCAGAACUCUGAGCAGGACCCCGUUUACUGGGACAGUCUGGCCAUCAGAUGGUGCCUGUAUCAGUGUAGCCCCAGAUCUCAUGGCUUUGCAAACAUCUGUGCUCUCUGCUUUACCCUGCAGCAUUUCACUUCCAUUAAAAGUGCAGCCUAAAAUCUCCCUUGUGCAUCCUUGUCUGGGAACUGGGUGACUUCCAGUUGAAGGGUCAAUAAAUAUAAUUAAAAGGAUCAUCCAACUGGAUCUCUUUCUCUGAGUGUCUUCCCUUGGAGGGACAACCCUCUCCAUCUCAUAAAUGGAUUUUUUCGAACAUGAGGACUUUGAAAGGUGGCAGAUGUCCUCAGCCUAUUGAUUUGUGUAGUUUGAUGCCUGGCAAGUGGUAGUCAGAGUCCUCAGAUUCAUAAGGACACCCCCUCAUAUGCAGAGGAUUCACAGAUGAUAUUCACUGUAUUAUGGCCUGAUCGAUAGUCCCCUACCAAAUAAAUGCUCAUCUACUCUAUCACCUCUCCUCAUAGACAAGUAAUAACACCAUGACUUAUUAGGAAAUACAAUGAGCGUAAAACAGUAGUAGCCAGCUUCCUGAAUAACUGUUACAUAACACGGCAUUUCUUGGUACUUUCACGUACCCU